UUCCAUCUUUAAAGAAACAAACUCACACAAACACACACACACACACACACACACACACACACACACACACACAAACACACACACACACACACACAGUAAGUUGAAGUCCAAACAUUACGUCAGUAUCUCCGUGAGGAAAGUUCCUGGUGUUCAGAGUCGGGUUACGUGGAUUUUGAGCUCCACAUUCAUUCGGAUGAUUAAAAUCACCUGCGUGUAGCUCUCACACCUCCAGAAUGUUCUCGAGCAGAAGCGUCUGAGGCUAGACCACGCCUUUAAACACAAACACUCCCCUUUAAACCUCAAUAAAGAAAAUGCCUGUAAAGAAACCGUGUCCACGGUGUGAAGGAUAAUCUGACCCAGAACUCAUCUGCUAUGCUUACAGAGAAACUCCAGCUUCACUCAUCACUCUACGCAGAAAAUAUUCACUCCCCCAGAUAAACGCCGUCUCCGAUUGAGACGUUCUCCUAGUGAAGAAAACCUUUUUGUGGAUUUAAAUGGAUGAUAUUAUUCAUAAAUGGAGUCAUAUUUAUGUAUUUAUUUUUGUCCUUGUGUGACGUCAGAGUGUGUGUGAGUGUUUUUAGGGUGACAUGCGCUGCACUACAGGUGUUCUGUAGGUGUUCUACGGGGGUUCUACGGGGUUCUACAGGUGUUCUACAGGGGUUCUACGGGGGUUCUACAGGUGUUCUACAGGGGUUCUACAGGGGUUCUACGGGGUUCUACAGGGGUUCUACGGGGGUUCUACAGGUGUUCUACAGUGGUUCUACAGGUGUUCUUUGAGUGGUUAGAAGUUCUAUGUGGAACUUUAUUAUAGGGUUCUAUAACAGAUUAAUAAUAAUUCAUUAUAUAGCUUUACUGUAAUUGACUCCAAAUCCCACUUUACUAAACCCUCUUAUUUUAAACAUUUAAUAAAUCUGUAAAUUAUCUAGCAAACUCUAAUCAUUUCUCCACACCAAAGUCUAAAUCAACUGAUAUUAGCUAAUCUAAUGUUACAACCGUCUGCGUAACGUACCCAGUCUGCUUCUAGUUGAUCCCAAAUUCCUGUCAUUUUUAAAAGCACACCCUCAUGUUCCCCUUCAUCUUCCCACAUCUUUAUCCCAAACUCUCACUGCUGUAUAUAACUCGUUAUAUAUCACCUCAUUAAAGGUUUAAAUAAUGAACAUUGUGCAGCUCGGUUUAUCGACACAAAAUCCCUCUACACGCUUCUUCUUCCUCCUGCAGACCUCAGUGUGUGGUGUAAUGGUGAAUCCGCAGGUGUCCCUCAGGGCUCCAUCUUACAUCCCGCCCUGUUCUCUAUGAUAUAACCGCUGAUAUCUGUGUGGUAAGUGCUUAUGAGGUGUAUUUCUGUGUGCUGUUCAUUUCAGUUCAUUCAUUUACCCAAAUUCUGCUCUAAUUCACGUAUCCAGACACAUCCACUCGCAAACUUCUUAUCCAACCUCCUAUACCUCAUCUAAUACGCUGUAAACCUCCUAAAAUCCUCGAAAUUGGAAUUUAAAUCCUUAAUGUAACUCAACAAACUUUUAUUCACCCCAUUAAUAACCUCUACACUAAUGUAUCUCCCCCGGCCUCCAAUUUAACAGCUGCUCGUCUAAUGAUCAAAUCUCCUCACGUCUAAUCAUCUCUAAUCAUUCCAUUUAUGUAAACACCCCAAAAUUCCUCCUUAUAAUCACACACUGUAAUACACACACUGAAAUACACACACUGUAAUACACACACUGUACUACACACACACACACACAUUGUACUACACACACACACUGUACUACACACACUGUAAUACACACACUGUAAUACACACACACACACUGUACUACACACACACACUGUACUACACACACUGUAAUACACACACACAGUACAACACACACUGUAAUACACACACUGUAAUACACACACUGUAAUACACACACUGUAAUACACACACUGUAAUACACACACGCUGUACUACACACACACACACUGUACUACACACACUGUAAUACACACACAC
ensembl:lncRNA